rnacentral:tRNA from 1 species
GGUGGGUUGCCCCGAAUUGGUAAGGGAGCGGAUUGCUAAUCCGUAGCGGCUUCGCCGCUUGUGGGUUCGAGUCCCACACCCACCG